rnacentral:rRNA from 1 species
UUUUGGUGAGGUGCCUUCCGAGUUCCCUGGAACGGGACGCCAUAGAGGGUGAGAGCCCCGUCUGGUUGGACACCGAUCCUCUGUAAAGCUCCUUCGACGAGUCGAGUAGUUUGGGAAUGCUGCUCUAAAUGGGAGGUAUAUGUCUUCUAAAGCUAAAUACCGGCCAGAGACCGAUAGCGCACAAGUAGAGUGAUCGAAAGAUGAAAAGAACUUUGAAAAGAGAGUUAAACAGUACGUGAAAUUGUUGAAAGGGAAGCGCUUGUGACCAGACUUGGGCUUGGUUGAUCAUCCGGGGUUCUCCCCGGUGCACUCUUCCGGCCCAGGCCAGCAUCAGUUCGCCCUGGGGGACAAAGGCUUCGGGAAUGUGGCUCUCUCCGGGGAGUGUUAUAGCCCGUUGCGUAAUACCCUGUGG